rnacentral:rRNA from 1 species
GAGCUCGAUGAGUAGGGCGGGACACGUGGUAUCCUGUCUGAAUAUGGGGGGACCAUCCUCCAAGGCUAAAUACUCCUGACUGACCGAUAGUGAACCAGUACCGUGAGGGAAAGGCGAAAAGAACCCCGGCGAGGGGAGUGAAAAAGAACCUGAAACCGUGUACGUACAAGCAGUGGGAGCACAGGUUUACCUGUGUGACUGCGUACCUUUUGUAUAAUGGGUCAGCGACUUAUAUUCUGUAGCAAGGUUAACCGUAUAGGGGAGCCGGAGGGAAACCGAGUCUUAAUUGGGCGUUAAGUUGCAGGGUAUAGACCCGAAACCCGGUGAUCUAGCCAUGGGCAGGUUGAAGGUUGGGUAACACUAACUGGAGGACCGAACCGACUAAUGUUGAAAAAUUAGCGGAUGACCUGUGGCUGGGGGUGAAAGGCCAAUCAAACCGGGAGAUAGCUGGUUCUCCCCGAAAGCUAUUUAGGUAGCGCCUCGUGAAUUCAUCUCCGGGGGUAGAGCACUGUUUCGGCUAGGGGGCCAUCCCGGCUUACCAACCCGAUGCAAACUGCGAAUACCGGAGAAUGUUAUCACGGGAGACACACGGCGGGUGCUAACGUCCGUCGUGAAGAGGGAAACAACCCAGACCGCCAGCUAAGGUCCCAAAGUCAUGGUUAAGUGGGAAACGAUGUGGGAAGGCCCAGACAGCCAGGAUGUUGGCUUAGAAGCAGCCAUCAUUUAAAGAAAGCGUAAUAGCUCACUGGUCGAGUCGGCCUGCGCGGAAGAUGUAACGGGGCUAAACCAUG